rnacentral:rRNA from 1 species
ACGGGUAACGGGGAAUCAGGGUUCGAUUCCGGAGAGGGAGCAUGAGAAAUGGCUGCCAGAUCUAUGGAUUGCAGCAGGUGCGAAAAUUAUCCACUUUUGGCAUAAAGAGAUAGUGAUGAUAAAUAACGGAUCUGGGCAUUUGUUCAGAGAUCGUAAUGAAAUAAUCGUAAAAGCUUUAAUGAACGCAAUUGGAGGGCAAGUCUGGUGCCAGCAGCCGCGGCAAUUCCAGUUCCAAUAGUGUAUACUAAAGUUGCUGCAGUUGAAAAGCUCGUAGUUGGAUCUCGGCUUGCUAGCGCGCAAAGCGCGAAAGUAGGCCUUUGCUGUAGUUGAGUGCUACGGCUUUACCUUGAACAAAAUAGAGUGCUUAAGGCAAGCAUUCUGCUUGAAUAUCUCAGCAUGGAAUAAUAGAAAAAGACUUUUCUGUUGGUUUACCAGUAGUAAAAGUAAUGAUUAACAGAGACAGACGGGGGCAUUCGUAUUGCACCGCUAGAGGUGAAAUUCGUAGAUCGGUGCAGGACGAACUACAGCGAAAGCAUUUGCCAAGGAUGUUUUCAUUAAUCAAGAACGAAAGUUGGAGUAUCGAAGUCGAUUAGAUCUCGUCGUAGUUCCAACUAUAAACGAUGCCAACUAGCACUCCGCUAAUAAGAUUUUGACAUUAGCGGGUUGCUUCCGGGAAACCAAAGUCUUUGGGCUCCGGGGGAAGUAUGGUUGCAAAGCUGAAAACUUAAAGGAAUUGACGGAAGGGCACCACCAGGAGUGGAGCCUGCGGCUCAAUUUGACUCAACACAGAAAAACUCACCCGGGCCGAACACAGUAAGGAUUGACAGACUGAUAGCUUUUUCUUGAUACUGUGGGUAGUGGUGCAUGGCCGUUGUUGGUUGGUGGAGUGAUCUGUCUGGUUAAUUCCGAUAACGAACGAGACUCAAGCCUACUUAUUAGUUGUUUGAUUGUUGGUCGAUCAACUACUUAGAGGGAUCAGUGUUUAAAACACUUGAAAAUGAGCAAUAACAGGUCUGUGAUUGCCCUUAGACGUUCGGGGCUGCACGCGCGCUACAAUGAAGAAAGCAGUGGGUGUCUUGCUUGGCAAAGCAAGCUGAGCCUUAAAAUUUCUUCGUGACAGGGAUCGAGGCUUGUAAUUAUUCCUCGUGCACAAGGA